rnacentral:rRNA from 1 species
UUGGAGGGCAAGUCUGGUGCCAGCAGCCGCGGUAAUUCCAGCUCCAAUAGCGUAUAUUAAAGUUGUUGCAGUUAAAAAGCUCGUAGUUGAAUUUCGGGAUUAAUUUACUGGUCGUGCAAUAGUACGUACUGGUUUUAUUGAUUCCUACCUUCUGACGAACCAUGAUGUCAUUAAUUUGGUGUCUUGGGGAAUCAGGACUGUUACUUUGAAAAAUUAGAGUGUUUAAAGCAGGCUCACGCUUGAAUACAUUAGCAUGGAAUAACGAAAUAGGACGUUUGAUUCUAUUUUGUUGGUUUCUAGGAUCGACGUAAUGAUUAAUAGGGAUAGUUGGGGGCAUUAGUAUUCAAUUGUCAGAGGUGAAAUUCUUGGAUUUAUUGAAGACUAACUACUGCGAAAGCAUUUGCCAAGGAUGUUUUCAUUAAUCAAGAACGAAAGUUAGGGGAUCGAAGACGAUCAGAUACCGUCGUAGUCUUAACCAUAAACUAUGCCGACUAGGGAUCGGAUGAUGUUAAUUUUUAAUGACUCAUUCGGCGCC